GACGUAGGGUGCAAGCGUUGUCCGGAUUUACUGGGCGUAAAGAGCGCGUAGGCGGUCUAGUAAGUGAGAAGUGAAAUCUCCAGGGCUCAACCCGGAAACUGCUUUUCAUACUGCCAGACUAGAGGAUGCAGAGGUUUGUGGAAUUCCUGGUGUAGCGGUGAAAUGCGCAGAUAUCAGGAGGAACACCGGUGGCGAAGGCGGGUCUCUGGGCAGUACUGACGCUGAGGAGCGAAAGCGUGGGGAGCGAACAGG
rnacentral:rRNA from 1 species